CUUUACUGUAACUUGAGACUGAUUUCGGGCUUUAUUUGCGCAGGAUAGGUGGGAGACUAUGAAGCUGCCCUUGUGGGGGCAGUGGAGUCAUCAGUGAGAUACCACUCUGUCAAGGCUAGAAUUCUAACCGUCUGCCGUUAUCCGGCGACGGAACAGUAUCAGGUGGGCAGUUUGACUGGGGCGGUCGCCUCCUAAAUGGUAACGGAGGCGCGCAAAGGUUCCCUCAGGCUGGUUGGAAAUCAGCCGAAGAGUGUAAAGGCAGAAGGGAGCUUGACUGCAAGAGCAACAACUCAAGCAGGGACGAAAGUCGGCCUUAGUGAUCCGACGGCGCUGAGUGGAAGGGCCGUCGCUCAACGGAUAAAAGUUA
rnacentral:rRNA from 1 species